ensembl:rRNA 5S_rRNA 5S ribosomal RNA
UCUACGGCCCAUACCACCCUGAACACGCCCGAUCUCAUCUGAUCUCAGAAGCUAAGCAGGGUUGGGCCUGGUUAGUACUUGGAUGGGAGAAACAGAGGCUGGGGGUAUGG